rnacentral:rRNA from 1 species
UAGGGGGAACCUGCGGAGGGAUCAUUACCGAGUUUACAACUCCCAAACCCAAUGUGAACCAUACCAAACUGUUGCCUCGGCGGGGUCACGCCCCGGGUGCGUCGCAGCCCCGGAACCAGGCGCCCGCCGGAGGAGACCAACCAAACUCUUUACUGUAGUCCCCUCGCGGACGUUAUUUCUUACAGCUCUGAGCAAAAAAUUCAAAAUGAAUCAAAACUUUCAACAACGGAUCUCUUGGUUCUGGCAUCGAUGAAGAACGGCAGCGAAAUGCGAUAAGUAAUGUGAAUUGCAGAAUUCAGUGAAUCAUCGAAUCUUUGAACGCACAUUGCGCCCGCCAGUAUUCUGGCGGGCAUGCCUGUCCGAGCGUCAUUUCAACCCUCGAACCCCUCCGGGGGGUCGGCGUUGGGGAUCGGGAACCCCUCAGACGGGAUCCCGGCCCCGAAAUACAGUGGCGGUCUCGCCGCAGCUCUCCUGCGCAGUUAGUUUGCACAACUCGCACCGGGAGCGCGGCGCGUCCACGUCCGUAAAACACCCAACUUUCUGAAAUGUUGACCUCGGAUCAUGUAGGCAUACGGCGCCUGAACUUAAGCAUAUCAAUAAGCCGGA